rnacentral:lncRNA from 1 species
GUUUGAGAGGAUUGACUACAAUUUUGAAAGCUGUCCUACAGUGGGUAAAAUGCUAUCAAAUAGCAUCGCAUGCUACAAAGAAGUCUUUCAUGAAAGGAAGACUCAAAUUCCUUGCGGGAAACAUCUUUGUUGUUUGCCACCCCAACCUUCCGCAACCACUGCCCUGAUCAGUCAGCAGCCUUCAAAUUGUGGUUAAGGUCACCAAACCAAGCGGAUGCCUGGCUUGGGUUUUUGACAGUGGAGUCAGCGACAACAAAGACAACGGAUAAUUAGAGUUCAUUCAAACAUCCUUUGAGAUUUCCAGUAAAUCAUGGAAUUAAAAAAAAAAAGAAAUUACAGAUACAGUAAGAAAAGAAAAAGAGAAGAAAAAACAGUAGAUAAGCCACGCAAAAGUCUUCCUACCAAGAAUCAAGUUCAAAUGACUCAGCUGGUCAAUUUACUAAGACUCUUGUUCGGGAACAAGAAUCAAAGACUUAGAGAUGAUCAGUAACCUGGAGAAGUUAUACAGCAAGAAAAUCUACAUCAUGGAUUUCCCUGUAGAGUCAUGAGACAGGAAUGUGCAAAGCCAAAAGAGACAGCUGGGAAGUGUAGCAGAAGUGAGUGACCCUGCCCUUCUUGGGAGGUCAUCCUUGGAGAAAAAGCUGACACCCUCACAUCACAAAAUGUAACUACCACCCAAGUGAGAUCUGUUACUCCUCACCAAAAAUUAAGGUGGAGUUUCUUUCUAAAGGAUAGAGAAAUUUUGGAGACUUGAUUUCUUUUUCUUUCUUCUGCCUUUGGGACAACUUCAAUGUAAUUACUGAAAGCAUGAAAAAAUCAACUUUGGGUUUUCAGACAUGUAUCUUAUUGUGACUGCCCAUUGUUUCCAAAUUUGAUUCACUGGAGAUGUUAGUGGGUGAUUCAUAAAAAAGAGAGAGACAUGGCAUGUUAGCCACGUUGGAUAUACACAAUACAUAUUUAUAUAUGAAAAGGUCUAAAAGUCCCACAGUAAAGCAAAAUUUUAAAAUUUGUACACAACCCUAUAUUUACUUAAUAUAUUUAAGUAAGAAACACCUUUUUUUUUCAGGUAACACCCUUGACGUCACGAUUUGUUUGGAUGCAAUUCUAUUUCAUGUUGAACCAUUAACAUGGAAUGGAAUAAAAUAGAAUGGCUAUAAUUUACUGAGUGCUUAAGGACAGUCUUUAUUAAAAGCAAUUGGAUUAAUAAUCUCUGAAUUGUCAUGAAUCUGCAAGUGUCCAGGAUUUCACAUGAAGAAGAUGAGAGAAGACAACUCAGAGCGUGGAGUGACUUCCCUUCAUUUUAAGUGAGCCAGUCCUCAGAAAAUUUCCUGGGUAUUAGUGUUUCUGCUCAAGACACGAGCUUAUUAGAAAUAAAAAAUAGUUUAUUAGAAAUAAGAAAUAGCUUAUUAGAAAUAAAAAAUAGCUUAUUAGAAUGAAAAUGAUGUUUAAAAGGACUAAUAACUUCUUAAGAUGAUGUAACUUUUAAUAGACAACAUGUCAACUGUGUUAGGUGCAUCUCUGUAAAAUAUUCUGAGAUGUGAAGCUUGUUAAUAAAAUUACAGCACAACUCAAUUUGACACAAAUGCCACAUGAUAUCAAAAAAACCUGAGAGCCUAUAGGACCAAGCAAAGUAUUUGUGCAGUACCCUUAACUAUUCAUCUCAUCUUUUCAUAUACAAACAAUACAAAUAAGAAGACUAGAGGAAAAUUAGAGAGCAAUUUCCAUUAGGGAUUGCCAAUAAAGACACAUCCCUGAUAGGAAAACAAAUCAAAACAAAACAAAACAUAUUCUGGUAUUUAAAGAGAAGUCCCAAGGAUGACAUUUUCCCUUGAUACGUAUCCUCAGCCACUCAGUGCUAAACUCUUUACCCCUGACUCGCCUCAGUAGUGAGACUUGGGUACUUCAUUAUUCAGGUCGCCUUUAUCAUCCUCCAGAAAGCUCAGGUUAGCAUGGGGGCAGGGGAGGGAGAUGUUCCUUAAAUGAAUGUCUGUGACGAGACCAGAAUUUGUGAUUAUACUUUGGUUUGAAGAAUAUCCAUGCAUCCUAUAAACACACUAUUGACAUAGCACCUACUUUUGUAAAGGUAGAGAUGAUACAGUUUUUGUAAAUGCUACUGUCUUCAGAAGGAUGAUGGAAACCUGAAGGUACUAUCCACAUCUAGCAAAUGUUAUCUUGGAAUCUUUUUCUUUAUAUCUUAUUCUUUUUCACCAAUAAGCAUGAAUCAUCUUCUCUUGCUGUUUCCUUUCCUUGUCUUUUUUAUUACAAAAUUAAAAAUUACUGAACAGUUGCCCAAAACACUGUAGAUUUCAUAUCUUGUUUGGGCUAAUUAUAUCAUCUGGCCUGCCAAAAUGGUUUCAUUAAUGAGCUUACAUUGCAGGAGCUUUCUAAUCAAUUCUUUGACACUAAAUGAAGGACCCCACCCAUAUUUAAGGAUCUGAAGCCUGAAGCAGAGAGCAGCUUCUAUGUGGAGGGUAGGUUGUUAGAGCUCUAGGCAAUCUGAUGCCUACAUCUCUCCCCACCUCUGCUGUUGUGGCUGCUUUGUUAUUACUUUGAAUUGUGGAAAGACUCUCUGUGGUUCCCCAGCCUCAAUUUUCUUCUUGGGUCCUAUGAUCUCAGACCUGUUGCUGGUAGUGGCUUCAAAACCAUUUGAGGAUUCCAUAUCUAUUCACAGACAAGGUGUUCCAGGCUACGCUAUGGAAGUCAACUUUGUGGGAUUGAAACGUUAAGCUGGAAUCCUUUCGACUUUUAUGAAUGCAAGAGCUUGUCAGGUAAGCAAAAGAAAAACAGGUGAAGAAACAGGAUGCCGUUGUAAGCAGUGAGCCGGGCUUUGGCGGUAAGAGACAUAGCCAUUAUGUGAGCACAGUGCAGACAAGGAAACAGAAGAGUUGUGAUUAUAGACUAGAGUUAAUCCAAACAAGAACUGUGUUAGAAUUUUGAAGGUUUUACCUUUUGAACACCAGACUUACUACUUUAAAUACAUAGAUAUAUUUUUAAUGAGCAUAUAAUCAAGAUUUCCCACUACUCAUGUUUACUGAGCAUUUGUCAGAUGUGAGGCAUUUUACUUUGUACUAUGGGGUUCUCAGAGGACUUGGUCCUUCUUUUCAACCAUCUUACAUUAAAAUGAAGAUGUAUUAGAAAACAAAUGCAUUCAUGACAUAAAAAUCCACUGAGCUAAUUAACAGUCAAGGCAAGGACGAAACAGAAAGAUGUGGUUGGGUUGAACUGGCUAAUUCUAGUACAGAUCUUGCUAUAACACAUGAAAAACUGAAGUAUAGGGAAGUAGAGCUACUGCUUCAAGCAGAGCAAUGAGGUUUUGAUAAUAAUUUCAAUUAUUUAAAAUUAAAUGAAUCAAAUAUAUGUAUUUUAAAGUUCAAUACAAUCCAAAGGUUUAGAAUUAAGGGUAUAAAAAAUAAAAGUAGAUCAAGAGCAAAAUAAUAAUUACAUCUUACCUAUAUGCUUAACAAACUUGACACAUGGCAUAAUUCAAAUGUAGACUUCAUAUAAUGUAUUCUGAUUUUAUAGCAAUAUUUCUCUUUAACAUGUACCAGAUUUUUCUUUAUGUGUCUGUUUGUAGUAAGUCUGUUUCUCAAAGUCACUUCCCAUUUUAAAAUUGAUUUAAUCAAUGAUAUAAUUUUUAAAUGGUGAGUAAAUUAUCUGCUAACAACACUAAAGAAUUUUAUAGUAGAUUUUAUAAUUUCUUGUAGAAUCUAGUAUUUUUCAUUAUAAUUGAACUUAAGUAAUUUAUUGUGUAAUUACUUGUUUAAUGCCUGUCUUAAUCCUACUAGAAUAUAGGUUCCAUGAAGGUCCAAGUCUUGUCUUAACACUUAGAAAAGGGGUCUCCAAACCCGUGGCCAAAGGCCAGUACUGGUCUGUGGCCCGUUAGAAACUGGGGCCACACAGCAGGAGGUGAGCAGCAGGUGAGCAAGCAAAG